AAACGUAGGGUGCAAGCGUUGUCCGGAAUUACUGGGUGUAAAGGGAGCGCAGGCGGAUUGGUAAGUUGGAAGUGAAAACUAUGGGCUCAACCCAUAAAUUGCUUUCAAAACUACCAGUCUUGAGUGGUGUAGAGGUAGGCGGAAUUCCCGGUGUAGCGGUGGAAUGCGUAGAUAUCGGGAGGAACACCAGUGGCGAAGGCGGCCUACUGGGCACUAACUGACGCUGAGGCUCGAAAGCAUGGGUAGC
rnacentral:rRNA from 1 species